UACGGAGGGAGCUAGCGUUAUUCGGAAUUACUGGGCGUAAAGCGCACGUAGGCGGAUCGUUAAGUCGGGGGUGAAAUCCUGGAGCUCAACUCCAGAACUGCCUUUGAGACUGCAUCGCUUGAAUCCGGGAGAGGUAAGUGGAAUUCCGAGUGUAGAGGUGAAAUUCGUAGAUAUUCGGAAGAACACCAGUGGCGAAGGCGGCUUACUGGACCGGAAUUGACGCUGAGGUGCGAAAGCGUGGGGAGCAAACAGG
rnacentral:rRNA from 1 species